rnacentral:lncRNA from 1 species
CGCCGCCUCCCGUUCCCGAACGGCAUUAACUUAAACGCGAUGUUCGACGGAUCCAAACCCUCGAAUCUCUCUGGCUUGAACACAUCAGGUUCCUCCCAAUUGUUGGGAUCGUUUUGUAUAGCCCAUGCGUUCACCAACAACAUGGUUCCACGCGGUAUACGGUACCCUCCCACUAAACACUCUUUUGAUGACUCGUGAGGUACUAACAAUGGACCGGUGGGCUUCAUUCGGAAAGUCUCGUUAAUUAUGCAAUGAAGAUAAGGAAGAUUGGGCAAAUCUGAUUCUUCGAUCAACCGAUUUUGUCCGACCACUGUAUCAAUUUCAGUUCGGGCCUUGUUCAAGACUUGGGGAUGGUUCAAAAGAAAAGUCAUUGCCCACUCUAAUGUCCCUGAUGAUGUAUCAGUUCCAGCCAAAAGUAAAACCUGUUUAACAUUUUCAAUAACCGAGUUAGGAUACUAUUUAAUGAGAGUAGACAUUAAGAACAAGAAAGCAAGAAAAGCAAAAGCUUACUAUCAUGAGACUUCUAAUAGUUUCAUCCUUGAAAUUUUCAGGCUCUUGUUCUUGCAAAGACAACAUGACUUCAAUCAUGUUCUUUUUUUCGUCUGUGGAUAAACUACUUUUCUUCCCAUUUUUCAUAUUAUGCCGACAUUCAUCAAUCAAUUCUUGUGUAAAUGCCUCUCUUCUUUUGAACAAGUUGAU